rnacentral:rRNA from 1 species
UACGUAGGGGGCAAGCGUUGUCCGGAUUUAUUGGGCGUAAAGAGCGUGUAGGCGGCCUUACAGGUCAGCUGUGAAAACUCGAGGCUCAACCUCGAGACGUCGGUUGAAACCGUAAGGCUAGAGUCCGGAAGAGGAGAGUGGAAUUCCCGGUGUAGCGGUGAAAUGCGCAGAUAUCCGGAGGAACACCAGUGGCGAAGGCGACUUUCUGGCCUGUUCUUGACGCUGAGGCGCGAAAGCUAGGGGAGCAAACGGG